AAUGAACGUUGGCGGCAUGGAUUAGGCAUGCAAGUCGGGGGAAUCCCAGCAAUGGGGGAACCGGCGUAAGGGGCAGUAAGGUAUGGGUACCUACCUUGGGGUUCGGGAUAGCCAUCAGAGAUGGUGGGUAAUACCGGAUGACGUCGUGAGACCAAAGAUUUAUCGCCCUUAGAGGGGCCCAUGUGAUAUUAGCUAGUUGGUGGGGUAACGGCCCACCAAGGCGAAGAUGUCUAGCGGGUGUGAGAGCACGACCCGCGCCACUCGCACUGAGACACUGGCGAGACACCUACGGGUGGCUGCAGUCGAGGAUCUUCGGCAAUGAGCGCAAGCUUGACCGAGCGAUGCCGCGUGAGCGAUGAAGGCCUACGGGUUGUAAAGCUCUUUAGUGGGGGAGAAAAGCCGCAAGGUGUGAUCUAUCCCAAAAAUAAGCACGGGCUAAGUUCGUGCCAGCAGCCGCCGCCG
rnacentral:rRNA from 1 species